CUGAUGUCAUACUGAAACCAGAAAGAGCAGUGAUUUGCCACUCAAUGAACAUGAGAUCUGAAGCAAUUUUGUCUUUCUACUACAGGAGAAGGAAAGGUCUUGACGAUUUCUCAACUACAGUCUACGAGGUCUGAUAGACAGUCUUCCACAGUCCGAUUCUGAAAGAAGCAUGGAUCUGACAGGAGGGACUGCAUACACAGACACGUUUGAUGGGAGAGAACCAUCAGCUGAAGGAUCGUUCAGAUAUUGAAUGUGUAUGGCCAGCUUUACUGCUUGUGUCCCUGAAAAAAUUGCAUUACAUGGACACUGUCUUAAAUUCCUUAUCCAAGCUUAUUAAUAAAUUAUGAUAUGGUUGCCCCAGG